AUUCCAUGAUGAGGGCACUUUUGUAAACUCUUUACACCUUUCCCAUGCCUCAUACAAGGACUCAUCAUCCAUUUGUUGGAAGGUAGUGAUCUCAUUCCUCAAGCAU
rfam:Gossypium hirsutum cultivar TM-1 chromosome 11, whole genome shotgun sequence